AGCUCGUGUCGUGAGAUGUUCGGUUAAGUCCGCUAACGAGCGCAACCCUCGCUGUGUGUUAUAUGUGUCACACGGGACUGCCGGUCUUAAGCCGGAGGAAGGUGGGGAUGAUGUCAAGUCAGCAUGGCCUUUAUAUCCUGGGCUACACACACGCUACAAUGGCCAGCACAGUAGGUUGCUAAGCCGCGAGGUGGAGCCAAUCCAUAAAGCUGGUCUCAGUUCAGAUUGCAGGCUGCAACCCGCCUGCAUGAAGAUGGAGUUGCUAGUAACCGCAGGUCAGCUAUACUGCGGUGAAUACGUUCCCGGGGCUU
rnacentral:rRNA from 1 species